AUACCGGCUCUCCGAGUGGUGGGGACGAUUAUUGGGCUUAAAGCGUUCGUAGCCGGCUUAACAAGUCUUCCGUUAAAUCCAACGAUCUAAUCGUUGGGCUUCGGGAGAUACUGUUGGGCUAGGAGGCGGGAGAAGCCGACGGUAUUCUCGGGGUAGGGGUGAAAUCCUGUAAUCCCGGGGGGACCACCAGUGGCGAAGGCGGUCGGCUAGAACGCGCUCGACGGUGAGGGACGAAAGCUGGGGGAGCGAACCGGAUUAGAUACCCGAGUAGUCC
rnacentral:rRNA from 1 species